UUCGCCUAAGUUAUCGUACUCUAACCGUUAAUUAUUUAUAUUAAUUUUCAAAACACAAUAUUUUAAAAGUUCCAAAUCCCAUUUAAAAAAUUCACUACCUUUAAAACACGUCCAAGCUAAAAUUUCCUAAAAUUAUGCGACAAUAGGUAGGUAUAUUUACUAUCUUUUUAUAUGUGUACAAAAUUUAACAUGCAUCAAAAUAUUUUAUUUCACUAUAAAUUGUCAAUAAUUGUGUAACCAGCUUUUCAAUUGCGUUUAGUUUUAAUCAACAAAUUUAUUUAUUAAAAAAAACAUCAUUCUAAGACUUUGAAGAUAUAAACUCCUAUAUUCUCGCUUUGAAAACAAACUGUAAGAAAGGCUAAGGCGAUCAAAUUUCUAAAAGAAAAUUAUUUAUUAUCUAUUAUUUCAUAACAAUACAAUAUCUACAUAUUUACUUGCCUAUAAUAGUUCAAGUUUUAAUUCAAUAAAACAAUCCUUAAAUCAUCAAAAAUAUAAAAUCUCAAAUAAGAACAUUUUUUUUUUGUCAUAAAACCAAUUUUGAAAUUUGCAACCUUGGUGAUUUUGAGCCAGAUAUAUUUUUUCAAUCCUAAAAUUUAGUAAAUAUUUUUAAAUAGACUAGGUAUAGAAUUUUUUUCAAUCUAAAUCAUAACUUCUAAAAUUGCCUUUACUUACUGCACGAAAAGAAAUAAAACCCCGUUUCAAUAGUCAAAAGCGCACGCUUUUGGCCAAAUCUUGGCGGCUAAGCUAUUUGUACUCUCCCAUUCUGUUUACAACCUUUGACACCUAAAGCUUAAAACUUAUGUUUUUCCAAAUGUAUAGACAAAUUACCUCAAUUUUAAAAACUUUGCUCUGACAGAAAAAAAAUUGCAUUUGCUAAAAUUUAGAUAUCUUACCACUGAGACAAAGUCAUCAAAUUUAUGUAGGUAUGUACAAUUACAAAGUCUAAUAUUUCUCUAAACAUAAAGAUCUAAACAAAGUUUAUGUAAGUUUGAAAAUGGGCCAGGGUAGGUUUACUAAAAUGAAAGAAAGCAUUUCCUUACAUUCUUGAAAACUUACUAUUGUAGAUAGAUUAUAAUAAAUGCCUACAUAUAGCAUAAUAUCAUAAGAACUUAAGUAAAACUGUCUCCAAAUUUGACAAUGAAACACUUUUUCGACCGGAAGUUAUAACUACCUAGGUACUUCAUAAACUUAAUUAUUUGUUUUAAUUUUAAAAAAUUCACAACCAUUAAAAAACGUCCAAGCUAAAAUUUCCUUCAAUUAUGCGAUAAUGGUAGGUAUGUUUACUAUCUUUUUAAAUGUGUACAAAAUUUAACAUGCAUCAAAAUAUUUUAUUUCACUAUAAGUUGUCAAUAAUAGUGUAACCAGCUUUUAAAUUGCGUUUUCUAUCAAAAGAAUUAUUUAUUAAAAAAAACAUCGUUCUAAGACUUUGAAGAUUUAAACUUCUUUAUGCUCGAUUUGAAAACAAACUGUAAGAAAAGUUUAGGCGAUCAAAUUAAAAAAAAUAUAUUUAUUAUGUGUUAUUUCAUAAUAAUACAAUACCUACAUAUUUACUAUAAUAGUUCAAAUUAUAAUUUCCUAAAACAAUCCUCAAAACAUCAAAAAUAUAAAAUCUCAACCAAGAAUAUAAAAUUUCUACACGAAAUCGCAAUUCACCUGCUUUUGCCUUAUCAUUUUUGUAUGGAAAGUCUACCGUUUUGCGUAUGUAAAAUUACAACCAAACCAAAAUACAAACACAAAGAUACAAAUGUGUAUUCUCAUCGCACUCAGACUUUCGUUAAUUAACUAUAGUCUUUCUCUAUUUUAAAUUAUAACAUUUGUAAGUCUCCCGACUGCAAUUAAUUUCUCCAUGAAUGUCUUUGCUAGAUGUUCCACAAGAAAUAUGAAGACGCGCGCCGGCCGCGCCGGCCGCCGUGCAAUCAAUGCAAAAAAAACUUGUUUUAGGCUCCAAUUACCAAAAUUUCAGUCAAGCAACAAGUAUCUGUCAUUUUUCAACUUUUUUAAUUAAUAAAAAAAAUAAAACAAUAAAAUUAAUAAAAAAAAAAUAAAACAAAAUUGCACUUCCCCCGAUUUUUCUAUUAAAGUUUAUGAAAAAAAUACACCGAUUUGGCUAUUUCCGAAUUUGUUUUCUAUGUUUUCAGCAAAAGUAGCUAAACAAUAACCGAAAUAAGAAUAAUAAAAUAUAAUACAUGUUGCUAGGAAUUAGUUAAAUCUAGUUAAUAAUACUUACCAAAAAUAAAUUCUGCUAUACAGACUGUCCAUGUUUUUGUUAUGAUAUUUCUUUUGACAAUUCCUGUGUUAUUCUAUCUAGUCGUUUCGUUCUGCGCAUGCAAUAAUAGUUUUGUCUUAUUUUUACUCAAGGGUUAAGGGGGUAGACAAAUUACUACUAGUGCAUGCCGGAAUGUAUUAGACACGAUUGUUCAUCCAACGGAUGAACUUAAAUGAAUUGUUCAAGGGUGUAAAUCUAAGAUAUACGUAGUAUUAAUACAGGAUGAGAAGAAAAUAUCUUUGUAUAUGAAAACCCGAAGCAGGACAGUUCACCUCCGCCGGUUUACCUCUGCCAGUUUACCACCGCCGGUUUACCUCUGCCAGUUUACCACCGCCGGUUUACCUCUGCCAGUUUACCUCUGGACAGUUUACCACCGCCGGUUUACCUCUGGACGGUUUACCUCCAGAGCAGUGCAAUUUUCAAAGCAAAAUAUGAUAUUUAAGACAAAAAUGUUCAUAGGAAAUGCAGCGUAUCCUCUAAAAAAGUAAAUUCCAAGCUUUUAAUUUUGCAAAAUAAAACAAUUCGUUUGGGAUGUUAAGAGUGUAACAAUUAUUGAUUGUUUGUAUAGUCUGCGGUUUCAUUUAGAUGAUGUUUCAUAGCAUAAUGCAAGAACCAACUUCCUUCAAGGAAUCCGGGAUGCUAAGCUUUGCUCAAAAUAAGGCCGCUGUUUACAAAAGCUGGACAUUGUGUGGACAUUGACAAUAAAUUCUAAACAAUUUGUAUGGAUUGUCCUCAAUUGCUGUUGUUGAACCAUGAUCAGCGACAUCUGCCCCUAGAAACUACUCUUCCAGCAGCAACAAAAACAAAAUCUUCUGAUUCCACAGAGUGCAACAGCGCGCGGCGAUUAGUUGUGAAAUCCAGGCUUGUAGCUCCAAAUGUCACGCUGCCGCUAAAUGACUACAACUUGCACACUUAGUUGGCUGAGACAGGGACUACUGCUGCCGCUGAGGCUUAUACAGUCGACGCAUGCAGAUGAGGUACGUAACUAGACAGAAGGUCGAUUUCGAAGCAACCUGUUCAGAGAAUGUAGCACAUAAAUUACGGGAGUUGGAUAUCAUUGGCAAGUCUUCUUCAAAAAUAAAUUAUAAUUAAUUAUAAUACUUUAGAAUUCGAGGCAAUUUUAGUAAACUUAAAGACUGGCAAAAUAGAAGCUGAAUUCCAUGAAUUGAUAAACUCCUGUGGCUGCGCAAUCCGGAAACCUUUACCUACGCAAUUGAGAUUUUGGAAUUUAGCUCCAAAAAGAAUAUCAAAGUAAAUGACCUUAGAAGCCAAGAUUUUGUAUUCAUGACCGACUUACGAUCUCUAUUCCAAUAAUUCUAUAAUUAUAAUAGAAUCAAUAAUUGACCAGAAGGCUCAUGAUGGCAGGCGCAGGACUACUUCUAACAACAAAUCAAAAGGAAACUUCGAAGUCGAUUUGACUCUGCCGUUCAGUUGAUUCCACGACAUAGUUCGUCGUGGCGAAAGUAGUUAUUAUAUAAUGUUGUAAUUUUGUUUUUCAAAUUUGUAUGUAAUUUAGCAUAGUUAGUUUUUAAAAUUCAAUUUCAAUUCAAUAAUUAAAAUAUUAUAGACGUUAAAAUUUAUUUAAGUUAUUGAGUAAUUAGAACAAAUAAAAAUAAAUGUAAUUUUUUCACGAAAAACAUUUCUUUU